rnacentral:miRNA from 1 species
GAUCUUCACUAGGCCUGCCCGGC